rnacentral:rRNA from 1 species
CACGUAGGGGCCAAGCGUUGUCCGGAUUUAUUGGGCGUAAAGAGCGUGUAGGCGGCCAGGUAGGUCCGCUGUGAAAACUCGAGGCUCAACCUCGAGAUGUCGGCGGAAACCAUCUGGCUAGAGUCCGGAAGAGGAGAGUGGAAUUCCUGGUGUAGCGGUGAAAUGCGCAGAUAUCAGGAAGAACACCCGUGGCGAAGGCGGCUCUCUGGGACGGUACUGACGCUGAGACGCGAAAGCGUGGGGAGCGAACAGG